rnacentral:rRNA from 1 species
GACGAACGCUGGCGGCGUGCUUAACACAUGCAAGUCGAACGGAAAGGCCCUGCUUUUGUGGGGUGCUCGAGUGGCGAACGGGUGAGUAACACGUGAGUAACCUGCCCUUGACUUUGGGAUAACUUCAGGAAACUGGGGCUAAUACCGGAUAGGAGCUCCUGCUGCAUGGUGGGGGUUGGAAAGUUUCGGCGGUUGGGGAUGGACUCGCGGCUUAUCAGCUUGUUGGUGGGGUAGUGGCUUACCAAGGCUUUGACGGGUAGCCGGCCUGAGAGGGUGACCGGCCACAUGGGGAGUGAGAUACGGCCCAGACUCCUACGGGAGGCAGCAGUGGGGAAUAUUGCACAAUGGGCGGAAGCCUGAUGCAGCAACGCCGCGUGCGGGAUGACGGCCUUCGGGUUGUAAACCGCUUUCGCCUGUGACGAAGCGUGAGUGACGGAAAUGGGUAAAGAAGCACCGGCUAACUACGU